UUGCAGGGAAAUGAAUUAUCUUUCUUUCUCAAGUCACCUUUGACAGACACCUUCCUGUGCCCCUUGGAGAGGCAGGAGAUAUCCAGCAUCCCUGACUGGUAGUCCCAUUCGCCCAGCAAAAGCCCUGGGACUCAGAGGUGGCUCCUAAUCCUGCCUGGCUCUGGGUUUCCAAAGGCAGCUGCCAAUCAGAGAGUAGUAUGGCUUAAAAAUCUGUACCAAGUGCAAGACUCAGUGGCAUCUUCAUGACCUCCGCUUGGGCAGGGACUGAACUAAAGGGCACUUCUGGCGCUUUGGAUCGACGGAGAAUCAGUGCAGAAGACCCCAACCCGUGCAAGAUGAGCAGUUGAAUCUCUGGGAAGUCAAGUGACUGGCCCAAGACCAGUGCAGCCGGGAUCCCAGCCUGGGCUUAUUGGAUCCUCUCUGUGAUAUCAUGCUGCCUCCUAAGACACAGGACAGGGUUUCUCAUGACUCCUGAGGACAUGAUAGUGGCCCUUAGGGUGCAGAGGGGCCUCCCAUCUGGCUGAACAGUAGCCAUGGAGUAUUCACAUAAGUGGAACCAGUUAUGUAUGGAGCUGGGGGUGUGAAAGGAGGAGGAGGCAGAGGAAAACAAAGAAGAUGUGGAGACAUCAGCCAGCUCUGAGGAGUGGACAUCCUACCUGGAGAGAUGAAACAAGGUCCU